AGACUUGCCACUUGGCAUUGUAAUUGUCUGCUGUCUGUUUGUCUGCCUUCCUCCUAGACUGUCUUGCCCUUGAGUUCCUUUGUCUCUGUAGCCCAGCUCCUAACAAUGCCUGGCACAGAAUAGGCACUUAAUAAAUAUUUGCGGAACAUAAGAAAAUGAACGAAUAACAAGACAGCAAGUGAAGGCUGGAUCCUGGCCCAAGGGCGUGAAUUUCUCUCAUCUUUGAUGUACACCCCAGGGUGCCGAUGAAAGUGCCAGAAUGUGCCACCCUAGCUUGGUGUUGAGGCAGCAGGCUGCAAGUGAAAGAGGUCGGGCUUCACUCCUAUACUUCCCAGGUUUUCAGAGCACGUUCCCUAAUAUCUCUGCCUCUCGGUUCCCUCUUUGCGUAACAGGGGCACGGGUUCUUACAGGUUUAGCCCCGUGUUUCUAAUCCUCAAAGCUCUGUCGCUAUUAUUCUCUUCCCUUUUUCAGUAGCAUUAUUACCCAAGAAUAUGUUAGGCAAUUGUGUUGAGAUAGAAAAGGGAAAAAUGCCAGAAAAGAAGGUCAAGCUAAGUGCUCUAUUAAGAAAAGUGCAAGAUUAUAAUGGAGAGAAACCAAAGGGCAGCGGCACCAGCAGGAGACAGGGAGCUGAAGCUGUGACCGAAGACUUCCAGAACCAAGACAAACGCACAUCUCAGAUUCACCUCGAAUUCCUGC
rnacentral:lncRNA from 1 species